UUACCAAUUUGGGCUCCUUCCAGAGCUGAAAACUGAUUAUAAAUAUGAAACAGAUUUCACUACUGGACUUGAACUCCACAUAAAAAGCAAGAAGAUCUUCAAAAUAAUUGAAAAAGGUCCUCACCAAAGAAUAGAUACAAUAUGACUGGCAGGACAUCAAGGAGUAAGAGAUUUGGGUAUGAGCUAUGACACAUAGCAGACAGUGAAAUGUUGAUGGAGUGAAAGAGGAAUCUGUCUCCCUGCAUCGUGGGAACUAUUCUGCGGCCGCAGGGCAGUGUGGAUGAGCCCUGGAAUCCUGCUACCUAUGGAAACUUCAGAAUUUGUUGAUUGUGGACAACAGAGAGUGUCCUCCGGCUUUGGGCUUUUCUUCCUGGUGGUGGCCCUCAAGAAGAAGCCACGUGCGCCCAUUUCAUCUUCAUGCAUUUUCCUCUUUAA